UACGUAGGGUGCAAGCGUUGUCCGGAAUUAUUGGGCGUAAAGAGCUCGUAGGCGGUUUGUCGCGUCUGCUGUGAAAACUCGGGGCUUAACCCCGAGCCUGCAGUGGGUACGGGCAGACUAGAGUGCGGUAGGGGAGACUGGAAUUCCUGGUGUAGCGGUGAAAUGCGCAGAUAUCAGGAGGAACACCGGUGGCGAAGGCGGGUCUCUGGGCCGUAACUAACGCUGAGGAGCGAAAGCGCGGGGAGCGAACAGG
rnacentral:rRNA from 1 species